GCCGAAGUGGCGGAAUGGUAGACGCGCUGGUCUCAAAAACCAGUUGGGGCAACUCAGUAACAGUUCGAGUCUGUUCUUCGGCACCA
rnacentral:tRNA from 1 species